GGGUUGUGAGGUUAAGCGACUAAGCGUACACGGUGGAUGCCCUGGCAGUCAGAGGCGAUGAAGGACGUGCUAAUCUGCGAUAAGCGUCGGUAAGGUGAUAUGAACCGUUAUAACCGGCGAUUUCCGAAUGGGGAAACCCAGUGUGAUUCGUCACACUAUCAUUAACUGAAUCCAUAGGUUAAUGAGGCGAACCGGGGGAACUGAAACAUCUAAGUACCCCGAGGAAAAGAAAUCAACCGAGAUUCCCCCAGUAGCGGCGAGCGAACGGGGAGCAGCCCAGAGCCUGAAUCAGUGUGUGUGUUAGUGGAAGCGUCUGGAAAGGCGCGCGAUACAGGGUGACAGCCCCGUACACAAAAAUGCACAUGCUGUGAGCUCGAUGAGUAGGGCGGGACACGUGGUAUCCUGUCUGAAUAUGGGGGGACCAUCCUCCAAGGCUAAAUACUCCUGACUGACCGAUAGUGAACCAGUACCGUGAGGGAAAGGCGAAAAGAACCCCGGCGAGGGGAGUGAAAAAGAACCUGAAACCGUGUACGUACAAGCAGUGGGAGCACAGAGCAAUCUGUGUGACUGCGUACCUUUUGUAUAAUGGGUCAGCGACUUAUAUUCUGUAGCAAGGUUAACCGAAUAGGGGAGCCGAAGGGAAACCGAGUCUUAACUGGGCGUUAAGUUGCAGGGUAUAGACCCGAAACCCGGUGAUCUAGCCAUGGGCAGGUUGAAGGUUGGGUAACACUAACUGGAGGACCGAACCGACUAAUGUUGAAAAAUUAGCGGAUGACUUGUGGCUGGGGGUGAAAGGCCAAUCAAACCGGGAGAUAGCUGGUUCUCCCCGAAAGCUAUUUAGGUAGCGCCUCGUGAAUUCAUCUCCGGGGGUAGAGCACUGUUUCGGCAAGGGGGUCAUCCCGACUUACCAACCCGAUGCAAACUGCGAAUACCGGAGAAUGUUAUCACGGGAGACACACGGCGGGUGCUAACGUCCGUCGUGAAGAGGGAAACAACCCAGACCGCCAGCUAAGGUCCCAAAGUCAUGGUUAAGUGGGAAACGAUGUGGGAAGGCCCAGACAGCCAGGAUGUUGGCUUAGAAGCAGCCAUCAUUUAAAGAAAGCGUAAUAGCUCACUGGUCGAGUCGGCCUGCGCGGAAGAUGUAACGGGGCUAAACCAUGCACCGAAGCUGCGGCAGCGACACUAUGUGUUGUUGGGUAGGGGAGCGUUCUGUAAGCCUGUGAAGGUGUGCUGUGAGGCAUGCUGGAGGUAUCAGAAGUGCGAAUGCUGACAUAAGUAACGAUAAAGCGGGUGAAAAGCCCGCUCGCCGGAAGACCAAGGGUUCCUGUCCAACGUUAAUCGGGGCAGGGUGAGUCGACCCCUAAGGCGAGGCCGAAAGGCGUAGUCGAUGGGAAACAGGUUAAUAUUCCUGUACUUGGUGUUACUGCGAAGGGGGGACGGAGAAGGCUAUGUUGGCCGGGCGACGGUUGUCCCGGUUUAAGCGUGUAGGCUGGUUUUCCAGGCAAAUCCGGAAAAUCAAGGCUGAGGCGUGAUGACGAGGCACUACGGUGCUGAAGCAACAAAUGCCCUGCUUCCAGGAAAAGCCUCUAAGCAUCAGGUAACAUCAAAUCGUACCCCAAACCGACACAGGUGGUCAGGUAGAGAAUACCAAGGCGCUUGAGAGAACUCGGGUGAAGGAACUAGGCAAAAUGGUGCCGUAACUUCGGGAGAAGGCACGCUGAUAUGUAGGUGAAGCGACUUGCUCGUGGAGCUGAAAUCAGUCGAAGAUACCAGCUGGCUGCAACUGUUUAUUAAAAACACAGCACUGUGCAAACACGAAAGUGGACGUAUACGGUGUGACGCCUGCCCGGUGCCGGAAGGUUAAUUGAUGGGGUUAGCGCAAGCGAAGCUCUUGAUCGAAGCCCCGGUAAACGGCGGCCGUAACUAUAACGGUCCUAAGGUAGCGAAAUUCCUUGUCGGGUAAGUUCCGACCUGCACGAAUGGCGUAAUGAUGGCCAGGCUGUCUCCACCCGAGACUCAGUGAAAUUGAACUCGCUGUGAAGAUGCAGUGUACCCGCGGCAAGACGGAAAGACCCCGUGAACCUUUACUAUAGCUUGACACUGAACAUUGAGCCUUGAUGUGUAGGAUAGGUGGGAGGCUUUGAAGUGUGGACGCCAGUCUGCAUGGAGCCGACCUUGAAAUACCACCCUUUAAUGUUUGAUGUUCUAACGUGGACCCGUAAUCCGGGUUGCGGACAGUGUCUGGUGGGUAGUUUGACUGGGGCGGUCUCCUCCUAAAGAGUAACGGAGGAGCACGAAGGUUGGCUAAUCCUGGUCGGACAUCAGGAGGUUAGUGCAAUGGCAUAAGCCAGCUUGACUGCGAGCGUGACGGCGCGAGCAGGUGCGAAAGCAGGUCAUAGUGAUCCGGUGGUUCUGAAUGGAAGGGCCAUCGCUCAACGGAUAAAAGGUACUCCGGGGAUAACAGGCUGAUACCGCCCAAGAGUUCAUAUCGACGGCGGUGUUUGGCACCUCGAUGUCGGCUCAUCACAUCCUGGGGCUGAAGUAGGUCCCAAGGGUAUGGCUGUUCGCCAUUUAAAGUGGUACGCGAGCUGGGUUUAGAACGUCGUGAGACAGUUCGGUCCCUAUCUGCCGUGGGCGCUGGAGAAUUGAGGGGGGCUGCUCCUAGUACGAGAGGACCGGAGUGGACGCAUCACUGGUGUUCGGGUUGUCAUGCCAAUGGCACUGCCCGGUAGCUAAAUGCGGAAGAGAUAAGUGCUGAAAGCAUCUAAGCACGAAACUUGCCCCGAGAUGAGUUCUCCCUGACUCCUUGAGAGUCCUGAAGGAACGUUGAAGACGACGACGUUGAUAGGCCGGGUGUGUAAGCGCAGCGAUGCGUUGAGCUAACCGGUACUAAUGAACCGUGAGGCUUAACCUUACAACGCCGAAG
rnacentral:rRNA from 1 species